GGGCUGCCCUGCUGCUCACCGGUCCACCCAUCUGCCUGGUCUUCUGGAGCUGAGGACUCGGGAAACCAUGCAAUUGAGGCAAGCCUUGGGCUGCUUUAGAGGCGCUGACAUCCGAGGAGACUUCUCCUGGGAUUGAAGGAGCAAUGUUUGGAGGAAGCGAAAGAAAGGAGAGGACACAGAGCACAGAGCAGCCAGGCAGAGCCAGGAGCUGAGAAGGGCCCAGACCUGAGGCCUCCCAACAACUCUCUUCUUGGAAGGAUCUGGGAUGUUGCUGAAGGAAAAUAAAAAAAUAUGUAAAAAGAUAACCUUUUGUUUUUCCCUCUCCAGGAAAUAGCCAAAGAGGUCCAACAGCCGAGCUUAGCCCACCGGGCUCUGGGAAAGACCCGACUGAGGCUAAAGCCGCCCCGGAAGGCCAAGUCCGAGUUCCAUUUCUUGAAGAGGCCGGCGCGCGUAAGGCUGUGACAUUGGCCCUGGCGACUGGCUUCCCAGGAGCUGUUCUUUCUCAGGAGCUCCACAGCGCGGGCCAUCUCCAGAAAACUGUCUUCAGAGUGUAUUUCCUUUUAUCGUCAACCCAGAGCCCCACCGCGGCUAAUGCAAGAGGCCAAAAAAUGUUUGGAGGAAGAAAAACAAAGGCAGGAAGUGGCGGCGGCCUGACGGUGCGUGUGUGUCUGCAGAGAAGGGAGGGAGCCGGCUCAGUCUCUUCUUGUUUUUCCAAACUUCAAGGUCCAGGCAGCCCUCUGCAGGGCCGGGCCCCAUUGCUCCCCGCGCGGCAUUGGAGGUGGCCGCCCGGAGAGGAGAAGGCCAACGCCUGCGCCAGGCUUG
ensembl:lncRNA HOXA11-AS HOXA11 antisense RNA